GCCGGGGUGGUGGAAGUGGCAGACACACAGGACUUAAAAUCCUGCGGUCGGUAAUACGACCGUGCCGGUUCGAGUCCGGCCCUCGGCACCA
rnacentral:tRNA from 1 species